rnacentral:rRNA from 1 species
CCGAGCGUUGUCCGGAAUCAUUGGGCGUAAAGAGCGUGUAGGCGGCCUUUUAAGUCCUGCGUGAAAUCCUGCGGCUCAACCGCAGACGGUCGUGGGAAACUGGAAGGCUAGAGUGCGGGAGAGGAGAGUGGAAUUCCCGGUGUAGCGGUGAAAUGCGCAGAUAUCGGGAAGAACACCCGUGGCGAAGGCGGCUCUCUGGAACGCAACUGACGCUGAGACGCGAAAGCGUGGGGAGCAAACAGG